rnacentral:rRNA from 1 species
CAGUAGCCGCGGUAAUACGUAGGUGGCAAGCGUUGUCCGGAAUUAUUGGGCGUAAAGGGCUCGCAGGCGGUUUCUUAAGUCUGAUGUGAAAGCCCCCGGCUCAACCGGGGAGAGUCAUUGGAAACUGGGAAACUUGAGUGCAGAAGAGGAGAGUGGAAUUCCACGUGUAGCGGUGAAAUGCGUAGAGAUGUGGAGGAACACCAGUGGCGAAGGCGACUCUCUGGUCUGUAACUGACGCUGAGGAGCGAAAGCGUGGGGAGCGAACAGGAUUAGAUACCCCUGUAGUCCCUGUCUCUUAUAC